rnacentral:tRNA from 1 species
UGUGGCAGAAUAGUGCGGUGGACUUAAACCCCAUAAAUAAAGUAUAACUUUUUUUAGAA